GUAUAACUUAGUGGCAGACGGGUGAGUAAUGUAUAGGAAUCUACCUAGUAGUACGGAAUAAUUGUUGGAAACGGCAACUAAUACCGUAUACACCCUACGGGGGAAAGAUUUAUUGCUAUUAGAUGAGCCUAUAUUAGAUUAGCUAGUUGGUGGAGUAAUAGCCUACCAAGGCAAUGAUCUAUAGCUGAUCUGAGAGGAUGAUCAGCCACACUGGAACUGAGAUACGGUCCAGACUCCUACGGGAGGCAGCAGUGGGGAAUAUUGGACAAUGGGCGAAAGCCUGAUCCAGCCAUGCCGCAUGAGUGAAGAAGGCCUUUGGGUUGUAAAGCUCUUUUAGUGAGGAAGAUAAUGACGGUACUCACAGAAGAAGUCCUGGCUAACUCCGUGCCAGCAGCCGCGGUAAUACGGAGAGGGCUAGCGUUAUUCGGAAUUAUUGGGCGUAAAGGGCGCGUAGGCUGGUUAAUAAGUUAAAAGUGAAAUCCCGAGGCUUAACCUUGGAAUUGCUUUUAAAACUAUUAAUCUAGAGAUUGAAAGAGGAUAGAGGAAUUCCUGAUGUAGAGGUAAAAUUCGUAAAUAUUAGGAGGAACACCAGUGGCGAAGGCGUCUAUCUGGUUCAAAUCUGACGCUGAAGCGCGAAGGCGUGGGGAGCAAACAGGAUUAGAUACCCUGGUAGUCCACGCUGUAAACGAUGAAUGUUAAAUAUGGGAAGUUUACUUUCUGUAUUACAGCUAACGCGUUAAACAUUCCGCCUGGGGACUACGGUCGCAAGAUUAAAACUCAAAGGAAUUGACGGGGACCCGCACAAGCGGUGGAGCAUGUGGUUUAAUUCGAUGCAACGCGAAAA
rnacentral:rRNA from 1 species